rnacentral:rRNA from 1 species
UACGAAGGGGGCUAGCGUUGUUCGGAAUUACUGGGCGUAAAGCGCGCGCAGGCGGCUAUCCAAGUCAGUGGUGAAAGCCCGGGGCUCAACCCCGGAACUGCCUUUGAAACUAAAUUGCUAGAAUCCUGGAGAGGUUAGUGGAAUUCCGAGUGUAGAGGUGAAAUUCGUAGAUAUUCGGAAGAACACCAGUGGCGAAGGCGACUAACUGGACAGGUAUUGACGCUGAGGUGCGAAAGCGUGGGGAGCAAACAGG